rnacentral:misc_RNA from 1 species
GAUGAAGAACGCAGCAAAAUGCGAUAAGUAAUGUGAAUUGCAGAAUUCAGUGAAUCAUCGAAUCUUUGAACGCACAUUGCGCCCGCCAGUAUUCUGGCGGGCAUGCCUGUUCGAGCGUCAUUUCAACCCUCAAGCACAGCUUGGUGUUGGGACUCGCGUUAAUUCGCGUUCCUCAAAUUGAUUGGCGGUCACGUCGAGCUUCCAUAGCGUAGUAGUAAAACCCUCGUUACUGGUAAUCGUCGCGGCCACGCCGUUAAACCCAAACUUCUGAAUGUUGACCUCGGAUCAGGUAGGAAUACCCGCUGAACUUAAGCAUAUCAAUAAGCGGAGGA